rnacentral:rRNA from 1 species
UAAGAGUUUGAUCAUGGCUCAGGACGAACGCUGGCGGCGUGCUUAACACAUGCAAGUCGAACGGAAAGGCCCUUCGGGGUACUCGAGUGGCGAACGGGUGAGUAACACGUGGGUGAUCUGCCCUGCACUUUGGGAUAAGCCUGGGAAACUGGGUCUAAUACCGAAUAUGACCACGCGCUUCAUGGUGUGUGGUGGAAAGCUUUUGCGGUGUGGGAUGGGCCCGCGGCCUAUCAGCUUGUUGGUGGGGUAAUGGCCUACCAAGGCGACGACGGGUAGCCGGCCUGAGAGGGUGACCGGCCACACUGGGACUGAGAUACGGCCCAGACUCCUACGGGAGGCAGCAGUGGGGAAUAUUGCACAAUGGGCGCAAGCCUGAUGCAGCGACGCCGCGUGAGGGAUGACGGCCUUCGGGUUGUAAACCUCUUUCAAUAGGGACGAAGCGCAAGUGACGGUACCUAUAGAAGAAGGACGG